rnacentral:rRNA from 1 species
UCUUAGUGGCGGACGGGUGAGUAACGCGUGGGUAACCUGCCUUACACUGGGGGAUAACACUUAGAAAUAGGUGCUAAUACCGCAUAAUGAGAGGAGACGCAUGUCUUCUGUCUGAAAACUCCGGUGGUGUAAGAUGGACCCGCGUCUGAUUAGCCAGUUGGCGGGGUAACGGCCCACCAAAGCGACGAUCAGUAGCCGGCCUGAGAGGGUGAACGGCCACAUUGGGACUGAGACACGGCCCAAACUCCUACGGAAGGCAGCAG